UAUUCCUAAUUAGUAGAUUUUAUAUAUUUCUAAUUAGUAUAGGAUUUACAUUCCUAAUUAGUGUAGGAUUUAUAUUCCUAAUUAAGCAGAGUAAUUAUAGUAGAAUGUAUUUCUAAUUUAGUAGAGUAGUUAUAGAAUAUUUGUAUGUAAAUAUGUAAUCUUUUAUUUUAUAGAAUUAAUGAGAUUUAGUCUUUUGUGUUCUUUCCUUUCUUGUCCUUUCUUAUUCUUAAAUUUUAACAUAGCAUCGGAGCCUUCAAUUCAUUAGGGCUUGGUACUGUUCACGACACGGUUCAUGGAUACUGUUCACGCACUGUUCAUGACAUUGUUCAUGGAUAAUGUUUACAAGAACAGUUUUGAGGAGAUUUUGGUUAGUGCUCCGUAAGAGAUGUUCUUGGUCUUGCUUGUGGUUACCCAUACUCACGGUACGACUGCUUUGAUUUGUUCAGUUUCUUCAAUGUGGUUUGAUAAACUUCUGAGGUUUUGUUUCUAGUUCUUCAAUGGUGUUUGGUCUCUUUUGCUUGGUUCUUCACUUGGGGACUUGCGACCCUGUUUGUUUUUGAUUUUGUUGUUGUUUUGCCGUUGAUUUGAUGACUGUAAAGUCUAUUAUUGUGCGAUUUGCAUUAUGUUUGGUUUAUUUUUGCUCCUGGGUUGACUUGAAGAGGACACUCAAGCCCUUUGAGCUGCUGUCCCAUUUGAUUCUCCCUUAAAAGGUGUUCUUGAAGUUUGGACAACCACUAUAUCACAACCUUGUAAGCUGUUAGAUAAUGAUUUAUCUUCUGGUGUGUUUUUUUUCCUCGUCGGCAUUGCCUUUGGAGAGGAAAGUGCCACCUUGUGAGUUGCUGAAUUUUGUUGUUUUAGUGUUUCCUCAUCGGCAUCGCCUUCGGAGAGUAAGUACAACUCUGUGAGUUGCUUUGUAUUUUGGUGCCUUGUGUUGGUGCCUUUGUACUGGUGUUUCUGAAUAUUUGUUGGGGAGUUAUCAGCUUCAAUGAGAAUCUUAUCAAGGAGAGUGUUGGAAUUGAUGAGAUUCCGUGCUCCAACUUGAGGGGAGUGUUAUAAAAUAGGAAGUAAAUAUGUGUAGGUAUUCCUGUAUUGGUUAGCAUAAUUUUAGGGAUUUUAUUCUUUUCUUAUUUAGGGAUUUGAGUUGUACAUAAAUAUAUUCGUAAAUAUAUUCGUAUUAUGAAUAAAAUAAAGGGAUUUCUCAAAAUAAACAAGGUAUCAGAGCUCAUGCUUCAUUAGGGCUUCAGUAUUGUUCAUGGGUACUGUUCAUUGGCACUAUUUAUGGAUAUUGUUCAUUGGCACUGUUUACGAGCACUGUUCACAAUUCCUAAACCUAUAAUUGUUUUUCUAGUUACGUAGUUCUUUGUUUUCAGCCUCUUUCCCAUGUGCCGGUGCGUGGUGGAGCAUGCUUCACUGUUUUCCAGCUUCAAUCUUCUCCUUCGGUGUUGCCUUGAUGAGAGGAGUUUAUCCUUGUUAACUACAACACCUUGGUGACCCAUUUAUGGGCCUGGUGACCCUUUGGUCAUUUUGACUUUCGGUGUUGUGCUCUGUUUUAGGUGAACUUUUGGGUAUUCUGCUGUUUAGUUCUCUGUUUUAGGGUAGGUGUGUUUUCUGUAAGCUUGCUAGUGUUCUGACCUUCCGUUUGGUAUUGCUCUAUGGGUAUUGGGUUUAGACAGCCACCAUAACACAACGCAAUGAGCUAUUAGAUAAAGAUCCACCUAUUGUUUCGUCUAUUUCCUCGUUAGAGUCGUCUUUGAAGAGGGAAGACAACCUUGUGAGUUGCAUUCUGUUGGUGUUUCCUCACCGGUGUCGCCUUUGGAGUGAAAGUGCAACCCUAUGAGUUGCUUUGUGUAUUGGUGCCUUUGUGUAGGUGGUUUCUAAAUUUGGUUGCAUUUGGUGAUUUCUUGUGGUUGUGCUAUCUAUGAGCUGUUGUGAUCAAUAAGAAUCUCAUCAAGGAGGAAUGUUGAAAUUGAUGAGAUUCCAUG
rnacentral:misc_RNA from 1 species